CUAUUGGGCCAAAACACGGCCCAUGGGUUCAUACGUGACGCAUUUAUGGACUCACAACAAGAGCUCAACAAAUAGUCUCAACCUUUCAAUCUGUUUGGGUCUUCACUAUUCAAAUUGGGCCCCCGCCAAAUCAGUACGUUGGUCUGAAAACUCCAACGUCGAGCUUCCUUCGCCUUUCAACUUCAACCUCUUCCUCUUCCUCUGCGUUCAGCAAAAAUAAGCAAAAACCCCACUGUAACCGAAAAGACCAUCGAGCCCUUGUUGGCAUCACCAUGCUCUCCUCCGCGGUCUCUUCUUCCCUCCUUAUCUUACACAAGCCCUUUGCUCGCGUUAUCAGAUUCCCCAUCCCCAAACUCCCUCUCUCUCCAAACCCUAGACCCCUCUCUUCUCUCUCACCCGCCGCUUCUGCUCUCACCCCCAAUGCAGUCGGCGCCGGCGGUCGCGCCGGAGCUCUAUCUCCGGCGCCGAUCACCGAAGACCUCCAGAAGAUCGACGUCAACCCUCCCAAGGGCACCAGGGACUUCCCCCCCGAAGAUAUGCGGCUCCGCAACUGGCUUUUCUACCAUUUCAGAGAGGUCUCGCGGUUGUUUGGCUUCGAAGAGGUCGACUUUCCAGUUCUCGAGUCCGAGGCUCUGUAUAUUAGAAAAGCAGGAGAGGAAAUUCGAGACCAGCUAUAUUGCUUCGAAGACCGGGGUAAUCGUCGAGUUGCAUUGAGGCCUGAGCUCACUCCUUCUUUGGCAAGACUGGUGAUACAGAAAGGAAAAUCUCUAUCCCUUCCAGUGAAAUGGUUUGCCGUGGGGCAGUGUUGGCGGUAUGAGAGGAUGACGAGGGGGCGGCGUAGGGAGCAUUACCAAUGGAAUAUGGACAUUAUUGGUGUACAUGAAGUUUCGGCUGAAGCAGAACUUAUUUCUUCAAUUGUCACUUUCUUCAAGCGAUUAGGAAUUACCGCAUCAGAUGUUGGAUUUAAGGUUUCAAGUCGAAAGGUUUUGCAAGAAGUAUUGAGGCAUUACUCCAUACCUGAAGCUUUAUUUGGCAAGGUUUGCAUCAUCAUAGACAAGAUAGAGAAGAUUCCAGUGGAUGAUAUAAAAAACGAGUUGAAAUCUGCUGGUGUAUCGGAAGAGGCUAUUGAGCAGUUAUUGCAAGUUCUUUCCAUAAAGUCUUUGACAAAGUUGGAAGAGAUACUUGGAGAUGCCGGUGAAGCAGUUGCUGAUCUGAAGCAGCUAUUCUCUCUUGCUGAGAAAUUUGGUUAUUCUGAAUGGAUUCAGUUUGAUGCUUCUAUUGUUCGUGGCCUUGCCUACUAUACUGGUAUUGUCUUCGAGGGUUUUGAUAGAGGAGGAAAGUUGCGAGCCAUUUGUGGUGGCGGGCGAUAUGACCGCUUGCUUUCUACUUUUGGUGGUGAUGACAUUCCUGCUUGUGGCUUUGGAUUUGGUGAUGCUGUCAUAGUGGAAUUGCUAAAGGAGAAGGGUCUUCUGCCAGAACUCAGCCUGCAAGUAGAAAACAUUGUGUGUGCUCUAGAUCCUGGACUUCAAGGAGCCGCUGCCACAGUUGCCACCAUACUCAGGGGAAAAGGUCAAAGUGUUGAUUUAGUCUUGGAGAACAAACCGCUGAAAUGGGUAUUCAAGCGUGCAGCAAGAAUAAAUGCUAAUAGGUUGAUAUUGGUGGGAGAUUCAGAGUGGCAAAGGGGUAUGGUGGGUGUGAAAAUCCUUUCUUCCGGUGAACAACAUGAGAUCAAACUUGAUGAACUAGAGUGAUAAGAAUUGAUUAUUUAGAGGUUGUACUCUAUUUGUUUUAUUUUUUAUAGCUUCUCAGUCACAACACAUCCAUUAGCACGAUUCGACUCUAGGAGUCACAUGAUUGCUACUUUGGUUUGAUGGAUGGACAUGACAUUCUUGAAUACUACCCAGAAUACAACAAGAUGAAGGGACUGCAUCAUACAAAGGGAUUUUCUCUAAAUUCAAAUUUUAGAAAGACAAGAAAAUGAAGAGAACUUUGUGUUUAUGUGAAAGAAUUUCUGCUAUCUUGGAGUGCAGAUUGUGUUUAGAAUGGCAGUGGUUGCUAGGAUGCAAAUGGAAAUCGGCUUCGUGAGUUGCAUUUCUGGAACUAAAAACACUUGCUGGUAUAACAAUGUAGUAGAAGAAGAAUGCGACCCCGUGUGUCUUCCUCACGAAGAAGAAAGAUGCAGAUGACAUGAAGUCUCUUACAGAUUGACACUCUGCAGAAUUGUGAAGAGAGAAUGAUUUCUGUAGUCAUUUUCCUAAAGAGAUUUUCUGGGCCGGAUGAUCAUCGGUAUUGUUGUAUCAAUAUGCUUUGAAGUACUUGGGGGUUCCUUUGACCCAACAAUAAAGGAAGAGGGUGGUGUGGGAGGAAUUGAUAAGUUAAAAUUUAGAAAAGAUUAUUUCAGGCAGAAAAAAUUAGGAGGUCAGACGAUGUGCUUAUUGCUAAAUUCCCCAGAGUUCGCCACAAAGACAAAUUUCCAACUCUUUAGGCUAGCCCUAAGUGCAAGUUCCAUAUCUUCCACUGUGAUUUGGCCUUUCCAUCCCCCAGCAUCAUUUAUGGCCAUCAAAAACCCACUGCCACUGUAUAAAAGGUCAAGUCUAGAAAUAUUUGGUUUGAAUCCUUACUGGUGUUCAUUGUCAUUAAGCCACUGUAAGAAAUUCGCAUGGUGGAACAUGGAAUGAUUUUGGUUUUAUAAUUGCAGUUCUUGUUCAGUUA